CCUACGGGGGGCAGCAGUGGGGAAUAUUGCACAAUGGAGGGAACUCUGAUGCAGCGACGCCGCGUGAGUGAAGAAGGAAUUCGGUAUGUAAAGCUCUAUCAGCAGGGAAGAAAGUGACGGUACCUGAAAAAGAAGCUCCGGCUAAAUACGUGCCAGCAGCCGCGGUAAUCCGUAUGGAGCAAGCGUUAUCCGGAGUGACUGGGUGUAAAGGGAGAGUAGGUGGCAGAGCAAGUCCGAAGUGAAACCCCAAAGCUCAACGAUGGGAAUGCUUUAGAAACUGCUCAGCUAGAGUGCAGGAGGGGUCCGUUACCUUCUUCGUGUCGCGGUGACCUGCGUAGAUAUUAGGCGUCACUCCCGUGGCGCCUGCGGCUUGCUGGCCUGUAUCUCACUCUGCUGCUCUACCGCGUGGCGCGCACA
rnacentral:rRNA from 1 species